rnacentral:rRNA from 1 species
UGCCAGAGCCGCGGUAAUACGGAGGGUGCAAGCGUUGUUCGGAAUCACUGGGCGUAAAGCGCGUGUAGGCGGUUUGGCAAGUCUGGUGUGAAAGCCCGGGGCUCAACCCCGGAAGGGCACUGGAAACUACCAAGCUAGAGUACCGGAGAGGAGGGUGGAAUUCCUGGUGUAGCGGUGAAAUGCGUAGAUAUCAGGAGGAACACCGGUGGCGAAGGCGGCCCUCUGGACUAUUGCUGACCCUGAGGGACGAAAGCUAGGGGAGCAAACAGGAUUAGAUA